rnacentral:lncRNA from 14 species
CCUUCUUCCCCUCCCAGAAUCUGUACAAGGGGAUGAACAAAUUCUCUUGGGGUUUUGGAGCAAACAUAGUAAAGUGGUAAAAUAAAAGCUUGCAGACGAUGCACAGAAGAAACACUGUAAGAGGAUAUGAGUUGGCAGCAGAGAAGAGGAACUCACCUGUGACCAAGAGCAGCUCAGAAAUGAUGCUGGGAGCGAAGCAGCUCAGCUUGUCCCCCAUGAAGCCAAUGCUCUCUGCAGUGAUGCCGGGUGAUGAGGCUGACUCUGAUGGGUCAGACCUGGACUCGCUGGAGGAAACAGCUGGUUCAGGGACAGCCACGUCCAGGAUGGUGAGGCUUUUGGAGAGACGCCUGGAUGCAGUGGCACAGGGACGGCCCAGCAGGGUGAAACUCUUCCCAGCUGGGAGCUCGGCAUCCCCCAGUACUGGCCGGCCCACCAAGAAACUCAAGGAUUUCAGUGGAGGUAAGGAAAUGAAAACUGAUGCCGGAAGAUCAGAAAUAAACUGAGAGCAAGAAUUCCUGCUACAGCUCUGCUUCAGCUCUCUGCCACCCUCCAUAAUGCUCCUGCCUGCAAUCUUGUCAUCUACACACUUGCACACAUCACAGUGAAACCGAGAGAUAGCUGACUCGGUGAGUUUGUCAGAGUAUCUGUGUUGCAUAUAAAAUA